UUCUUCCUGGACAGCUAUUUUUUGUGCAAAUUCUAAAUUUCCAGCCACGAGUGCACGUGUUUGGAGGUGCCGUAGAACCUUGGGAGCGACCGGCCUUAACAAUUUGCAACCCACCAGACCGAAAUCGCUUUCAAGACAGUAACUUAAUACGACAUAAUAUUUUUGAUAAAUUGUAAUCUUAUUUUCUUGUUGUCUUGGUCAAUAUUAUUGACUCCUUUUCUUACAAAUAUGAGAGUUUCCUUCAAAUAAAAUUGGUUGUUAAAGCCUUCAAAGGACAACAUAGAGCAAGUGGACAGCCAUUACAGCGCCUACUUUUUCGCAAAGCCACUACUUAGAAAUCGUAAGUUGUAAGCCUUGAAGUCAAUUAGCAAUACUAUAAGCAGACCGCCUUACCAUAUGUCUAGGUUCAUCUACUUCUCUUAAUUAUAGACUAAAACUAAUACUGGGAUAUUCUAAAACCACUUUCAAAUACAGUAUAACAAUA
rnacentral:lncRNA from 1 species